rnacentral:snoRNA from 1 species
UGUCCCUGACCUGAGUAGAGUGGCAUCUGGUUGGUGGUGCCCAUCUCAUAUCACCAGGGACAAAGUAACCCCUUGUUCAUCCCAGCUUGGCUAAAAAAAAAAAAGGAAUAAUCAUUUUAAGGGAUAACAGCAUGGCAGAAAAAGGGGCAAAUAA